GAUGAACGCUGGCGGCGUGCCUAAUACAUGCAAGUCGAGCGAACAGACGAGGAGCUUGCUCCUCUGACGUUAGCGGCGGACGGGUGAGUAACACGUGGAUAACCUACCUAUAAGACUGGGAUAACUUCGGGAAACCGGAGCUAAUACCGGAUAAUAUUUUGAACCGCAUGGUUCAAAAGUGAAAGACGGUCUUGCUGUCACUUAUAGAUGGAUCCGCGCUGCAUUAGCUAGUUGGUAAGGUAACGGCUUACCAAGGCAACGAUGCAUAGCCGACCUGAGAGGGUGAUCGGCCACACUGGAACUGAGACACGGUCCCGACUCCUACGGGAGGCAGCAGUAGGGAAUCUUCCGCAAUGGGCGAAAGCCUGACGGAGCAACGCCGCGUGAGUGAUGAAGGUCUUCGGAUCGUAAAACUCUGUUAUUAGGGAAGAACAUAUGUGUAAGUAACUGUGCACAUCUUGACGGUACCUAAUCAGAAAGCCACGGCUAACUACGUG
rnacentral:rRNA from 1 species